GAUGAACGCUGGCGGCGUGCCUAAUACAUGCAAGUCGAGCGAACAGACGAGGAGCUUGCUCCUCUGACGUUAGCGGCGGACGGGUGAGUAACACGUGGAUAACCUACCUAUAAGACUGGGAUAACUUCGGGAAACCGGAGCUAAUACCGGAUAAUAUAUUGAACCGCAUGGUUCAAUAGUGAAAGACGGUUUUGCUGUCACUUAUAGAUGGAUCCGCGCCGGAUUAGCUAGUUGGUAAGGUAACGGCUUACCAAGGCAACGAUGCGUAGCCGACCUGAGAGGGUGAUCGGCCACACUGGAACUGAGACACGGUCCAGACUCCUACGGGAGGCAGCAGUAGGGAAUCUUCCGCAAAGGGCGAAAGCCUGACGGAGCAACGCCGCGUGAGUGAUGAAGGUCUUCGGAUCGUAAAACUCUGUUAUUAGGGAAGAACAAAUGUGUAAGUAACUAUGCACGUCUUGACGGUACCUAAUCAGAAAGCCACGGCUAACUACGUG
rnacentral:rRNA from 1 species